rnacentral:rRNA from 1 species
GGGGAAUAUUGCACAAUGGGCGCAAGCCUGAUGCAGCCAUGCCGCGUGUAUGAAGAAGGCCUUCGGGUUGUAAAGUACUUUCAGCGGGGAGGAAGGCGAUGGGGUUAAUAACCCUGUCGAUUGACGUUACCCGCAGAAGAAGCACCGGCUAACUCCGUGCCAGCAGCCGCGGUAAUACGGAGGGUGCUAGCGUUAAUCGGAAUUACUGGGCGUAAAGCGCACGCAGGCGGUCUGUUAAGUCAGAUGUGAAAUCCCCGGGCUUAACCUGGGAACUGCAUUUGAAACUGGCAGGCUUGAGUCUUGUAGAGGGGGGUAGAAUUCCAGGUGUAGCGGUGAAACGCGUAGAGAUCUGGAGGAAUACCGGUGGCGAAGGCGGCCCCCUGGACAAAGACUGACGCUCAGGUGCGAAAGCGUGGGGAGCAAAC